rnacentral:rRNA from 1 species
UACGGAGGGUGCAAGCGUUAAUCGGAAUUACUGGGCGUAAAGCGCACGCAGGCGGUUUGUUAAGUCAGAUGUGAAAUCCCCGGGCUCAACCUGGGAACUGCAUCUGAUACUGGCAAGCUUGAGUCUCGUAGAGGGGGGUAGAAUUCCAGGUGUAGCGGUGAAAUGCGUAGAGAUCUGGAGGAAUACCGGUGGCGAAGGCGGCCCCCUGGACGAAGACUGACGCUCAGGUGCGAAAGCGUGGGGAGCAAACAGGAUUAGAUACCCUGGUAGUCCACGCCGUAAACGAUGUCGACUUGGAGGUUGUGCCCUUGAGGCGUGGCUUCCGGAGCUAACGCGUUAAGUACCCCGCCUGGGGAGUACGGCCGCAAGGCUAAACUCAAAG